CAAUCUUUUAAAGUUUUAAUUUUACUAUCCAGCUUUUCAAUUUUUUUUUGCUUUGAGUCGUCAAUACUAUUUUGACUUUAAAAUUUAAGCUAAUAACUUAUUUUAAUAAAUUUAUGAUUGAGAGAAUUGCAUGAAAUACACUAAAUAGACCUAUAAGGAUAAUUGAUAUAUUCAAAAUUUAAAGUCAAAAUAUCAUUAACUUACUCAAAUCAAACAAAUUGAAAGAUUAUGUAGUAAAAGCAUAAUUUGAAAUGUUGGGGCAGUCAAUUCAAAAUGGUUCUUACUUUUGAU
rnacentral:lncRNA from 1 species